rnacentral:rRNA from 2 species
CGUCAAGUCAUCAUGGCCCUUACGACCAGGGCUACACACGUGCUACAAUGGCAUAUACAAAGAGAAGCGACCUCGCGAGAGCAAGCGGACCUCAUAAAGUAUGUCGUAGUCCGGAUUGGAGUCUGCAACUCGACUCCAUGAAGUCGGAAUCGCUAGUAAUCGUAGAUCAGAAUGCUACGGUGAAUACGUUCCCGGGCCUUGUACACACCGCCCGUCACACCAUGGGAGUGGGUUGCAAAAGAAGUAGGUAGCUUAACCUUCGGGAGGGCGCUUACCACUUUGUGAUUCAUGACUGGGGUGAAGUCGUAACAAGGUAACCGUAGGGGAACCUGCGGUUGGAUCACCUCCUUACCUUAAAGAA